AGCGAACGCUGGCGGCAUGCCUAACACAUGCAAGUCGAACGAACUCUUCGGAGUUAGUGGCGGACGGGUUUGUAACACGUGGGAACGUUCCUUUUGGUUCGGCAUAACUCAGGGAAACUUGUGCUAACACCGAAUGUGCCCUUCUGGGGAAAGAUUUCUUGCCAUUCGAGCUUCCCGCGUCUGAUUCGCUAGUUGGUGAGGUAACGGCUCACCACGGGGACGAUCAGUAACUGGUCUGUGAGGAUGACCAGCGACACUGAGACUGAGACACGGCCUAGAAUCCUACGGGAGGCAGCAGUGGGGAAUCGUGCGAAAUGGGCGAAGGCCUGACGGUGCCAUGACGCGUGAAUGAUGAAGGUAUGAGGAUUGAAAAAUUCUUUCAACGGGGACGAUAAUGACGGUACCCGGAGAAAAAGCCCCGGCUAACUACGUG
rnacentral:rRNA from 1 species